rnacentral:rRNA from 1 species
GCCAGCAGCAUAUCACCCUGCAACUCACAACUGGCAGCCCACUGAAGCUAAGCAGGUGUGAGCCUGGUCAGUACCUAGAUGGUACCUCCUGGGAAAAACUAGCUUGCUGCUGGAA